rnacentral:rRNA from 1 species
GACGAACGGCUGGGCGGCGUGGAUUAGGCAUGCAAGUCGAACGGUAGGAUACCUUCGGGUAUCUGAGAGUGGCGAACGGGUGAGUAACACGUAGGUGAUCUACCCUCAAGAUUGGGACAACCCAGGGAAACUUGGGCUAAUACCGGAUGAAAGCAGCAGCGAUGUUGUUGAAAGGUGGCGUAAGCUGCCGUUUGGGGAUGAGCCUGCGCUCUAUUAGUUAGUUGGCGGGGUAAAGGCCCACCAAGGCGAUGAUAGAUAGGCGGCCUUAACGGGUGGUCGCCCACGCUGGGAUUGAGGUACGGCCCAGACUCCUACGGGAGGCAGCAGUCGAGAAUAGUCUACAAUGGCCGAAAGGCUGAUAGUGCGACGCCGCGUGAACGAAGAAGCCCUUCGGGGUGUAAAGUUCUUUUAUAUGUGAGCAGUGCUUUCUAUGUGAACAGCAUAGGGAGAGAGAUAUUAGCAUAUGAAUAAGCAACGGCUAACUCCGUG